rnacentral:rRNA from 1 species
GGGGGGGGGUGGGGGGGGGGGGGGGGCGGGGGGGGCGGGGGGACGGGGGGGGAGGUUGCGCCGCUGACGUUAGCGGCGGGCGGGUGGGGAAGGCGUGGAUAACCUACCUAUAAGCCUGGGGUGACUUCGGGAAACCGGAGCUAAUACCGGAUAAUAUAUUGAACCGCAUGGUUCAAUAGUGACAGACGGUUUUGCUGUCCCUUAUAGAUGGAUCCGCGCCGCAUUAGCUAGUUGGUAAGGUAACGGCUUACCAAGGCAACGAUGCGUAGCCGACCUGAGAGGGUGAUCGGCCACACUGGAACUGAGACACGGUCCAGACUCCUACGGGAGGCAGCAGUAGGGAAUCUUCCGCAAUGGGCGAAAGCCUGACGGAGCAACGCCGCGUGAGUGAUGAAGGUCUUCGGAUCGUAAAACUCUGUUAUUAGGGAAGAACAAAUGUGUAAGUAACUAUGCACGUCUUGACGGUACCUAAUCAGAAAGCCACGGCUAACUACGUG